rnacentral:rRNA from 1 species
GUCUAUACAUGCAGUCGAGCGCAGGAAGCAGUCUGAACCCUUCGGGGGGACGACGGUGGAAUGAGCGGCGGACGGGUGAGUAACACGUAAAGAACCUGCCCAUAGGUCUGGGAUAACCACGAGAAAUCGGGGCUAAUACCGGAUGUGUCAUCGGACCGCAUGGUCCGCUGAUGAAAGGCGCUCCGGCGUCGCCCAUGGAUGGCUUUGCGGUGCAUUAGCUAGUUGGUGGGGUAACGGCCCACCAAGGCGACGAUGCAUAGCCGACCUGAGAGGGUGAUCGGCCACACUGGGACUGAGACACGGCCCAGACUCCUACGGGAGGCAGCAGUAGGGAAUCUUCCACAAUGGACGAAAGUCUGAUGGAGCAACGCCGCGUGAACGAUGAAGGCUUUCGGGUCGUAAAGUUCUGUUGUAAGGGAAGAACAAGUGCCGCAGGCAAUGGCGGCACCUUGACGGUACCUUGCGAGAAAGCCACGGCUAACUACGUGCCAGCAGCCGCGGUAAUACGUAGGUGGCAAGCGUUGUCCGGAAUUAUUGGGCGUAAAGCGCGCGCAGGCGGCCUCUUAAGUCUGAUGUGAAAGCCCCCGGCUCAACCGGGGAGGGCCAUUGGAAACUGGGAGGCUUGAGUAUAGGAGAGAAGAGUGGAAUUCCACGUGUAGCGGUGAAAUGCGUAGAGAUGUGGAGGAACACCAGUGGCGAAGGCGACUCUUGGCCUAUAACUGACGCUGAGGCGCGAAAGCGU